rnacentral:misc_RNA from 1 species
CACUGGACUCUACGUAGAAAAUAAAUUAAAAAACAAUUGAUUUCUACAUAAAAAUUCAUAGUGGUAAAAUGUUUUUUAACCCCAAAUGUUUCUAAAAUGUUAAAAACAUUGACUGUUGCGUUAGCGCGACAGCCAAGAACGACGUAAGUCAACAAACAUCUGAAGCGUGAGCAACGCUCCACAACAAUAAAAGGGAGUUAAGUUAAUAACAAAAAGGCGAAAAAAGUACUUCGUCAAAAUUUGCAUACAAAAACGAGUUGAGUUGGUUAGGUAAUACACAGAGACGAGACCCCAUUGACUACGCACAACCACAGCUCAACAAUGAGUAAGCUGGAGACCGAUUCGGACAGUUCCGAGGAAUUUUUCGAUGCCGAAGACACUACGCCCAAUCGUCAUUCCACACUGUGUCGUAGAUUGCCGGCAGAGGUGGCUCAGGAGUUUAUAUUUCCAGAGCCUGCAGUGCGUGUCAAUGCGGCCGCCUCAUCGGAUAGCGAUGCGACUCCCAUUGGCGCUGGAACGCCUGCUACACGGAGUCCCACCAACAGUCUAGGCGCUCGUCUGAAGCAGCAAGAUAUAGCGCCCGUAGUCUUCGCCGAGCCGAAGCCAGUGCAUGGAGCAUAUGGUAGACAACGCUUUCGCGAACUCCGUCAGUGCAUGCAAAACGAUGAAGAUGAUAAUCCAGGAAAUACACUCACACCUGACUCUCAGAAUAGCUCCACGGAUGGGAUUUUCACCAAUCGAUCUACGCAUCCGUUCAAGGUUAUCGAAACCGAUGCGAUGAGCAUACAGAGCAUGACAUCCUUGGGUCGCGUGGGACGCAUCUUGGCAGGCAGUAUAGACCCUUCGGCCAUCAGUAUUGAUCGAGAGUCCCUGGCCUCCCUGAAUGCCCAGCAGAAGCAUCAGCAACAGCAACAGGCACAGACGCAGACGCAACCCCAACAACCGACGCAGUCUUCGACCAUGUCCUCAGCAACGAGAACUGCAAGCACAUCCUCUGGCAUAGGGACGCCAGCUGUCUCGCCCAAGCAUCAGCAGCAAGAUGCUGCAGCUCCCAGUGCAUUAGGCACUGCUUCUAGGGUCCCCUCGAAUGCUUCAGUACCUGUGCAGGCAUCAGCUGCUGUUGGAAUCAUGUUGCAAGAGCCAGAUGUGAUAGCAAGCACAAAGCUUGCGCAGUCCAAGACAACAGAUUCUAUCACCUCAUGCGGGCCAGUGGCGCCACCGCGAAGGAAGAAGAAAUCGCGACACCUUUCAAGCAGUUCCUCGGAUCAGUUCAAUAUGUCCGACCGGCCGACCGACGCGGAAGACACCGACAGCGACACUCGUUCUGUAAGAAGCGUACGCGAUGCCCAGCAGAAGCUGCGCGAUGACUUUGUCCUGGAGUUUGAGAGCUCGCUGAACGAUGCCAAUACCUCGGCAUCCAGCAACACAUUGACCUGCUCGUCCACCAACACAAUCGUAUCGGCCACGACCACGGCCACGCCCUCGUCUCUGGUGCAGAUGCCGUCGAUGAGUGCCAUGCAUAUACGUCCCAUGUUGGCCACGACGGCAAUUGCUGCCCUCUCCAAGCCUUCGCAUUCGCUGGGAAGCAGUUCCACCUCAGUUUACUCGAAGCCAAGUCCCUCAAACUCGGCCAAGAGCAACUCAGCGCCAGGACGCGUCAGCUCCAUCGAUCCGAAUCAGGGUCUCAAUCUAUUCAAGGCCAUUCAGGGGGGCUACGUAGUCAAGCCACGUGACGAGGCCAGCAACAAGGCCCAGGGUCCAUCCCAGGAUGAGAUUGAGCGAAUUGAGAAAAUGCUCAUGGAGAACGCAAAUCGUCCCAAGUUGGCGGGCACCGGCUCCAAUAGCUUGGGCAGUGCCACGCGAUAUCCAGCCUUGUAUCGCGUCACCAACGACAAGGAACGACGAAAGUCUGCUGGCGACGAAGAUGUGCUAAGGCAGAUGAACAUUUACGUGCGGACACGCACCAGCUCUGGCAAGCAGCUUACCGACUUUGAGAUACUCGAGCAAGUGCCUGUGAAGAACCUGGACACGGGAGAGAACAUGCCGCUCUCCGAGAUGCGUUCACCGCCAGUGCCUGAGGGCUGGAAUCCACUCUCGCUGCAUAUCCUAAAGCUGACGUCCCACCUGGAGGUGACCCAGAAAGAGUCCGAUGAGGAGAGUGUGAUUGGCAUACCGCCUAGUAUUGAAGGCCAACAGCCCGACGAGGAAGAGCUCGAAACGGACGACGGUAGUCGUCUGAAGAAGAAAACGGCACGCAUUAAGCGCUUCUUUGGCACCACAAUGCGGAAGACUGUGGACAAGGCCAAAUCGAUUGCAUCUGAAGUGUCGCAUGCGCGACACAAGGAGGAUGUCGCUGAUAUCGUGGACGCCAUGAAUCCCGAGCAGAAUAUCAAAAUCAAAGCGUCCUCGUCCAACAAGGGACCCUACGAAUUCACCAAACUCCAGCACGUGCAGGACUUAAGUGGCGAAGACACGAGCGCAGUGUGGUGCAUGAAGUUCAGCUCGUGCGGGCGCCUCUUGGCCACAGCGGGGCAGGAUAAGGUUCUGCGAAUUUGGGUGUUGAAAGAUGCCUAUCCAUUCUUUCAGGACAUGCGCAACAAAUACAAUGCCGAUCAAAAGUCAUCGCCCACGCCCUCACAGGAGUCUCUCGUUUCGCAGCACUCGGCCGAGGAGGCGAUUGCUAUGGCCACAGCCGCUGAGAAAUGCACAGGGCCCUUCAUGCCCAAGCCCUUCUGCACCUACAACGGGCACACCUCGGAUCUGCUGGAUGUUAGCUGGUCGAAGAACUACUUCAUCCUGUCUAGCAGCAUGGACAAGACGGUCCGCCUGUGGCACAUAUCCAGAAAGGAGUGCCUCUGCUGCUUUCAGCAUAUUGAUUUUGUCACAGCCAUUGCCUUCCAUCCGCGCGACGAUCGAUACUUUCUGAGCGGAAGCCUCGAUGGCAAGCUGAGACUGUGGAAUAUACCGGACAAGAAGGUGGCUCUGUGGAACGAGGUGGAUGGCCAGACAAAGCUCAUCACGGCAGCCAAUUUCUGUCAGAACGGUCAGUUUGCUGUGGUGGGCAGCUACGAUGGACGCUGCAUAUUCUACAACACGGACCAGCUUAAGUACCACACACAGAUCCAUGUGCGCUCUACCCGCGGCAAGAAUCGCAUUGGCCGCAAGAUCAGCGGCAUCGAGCCCAUGCCCGGAGAGGACAAAAUAUUGGUCACCUCCAAUGACAGCCGAGUGCGCCUUUACGAUUUGAGGGAUCUCAACUUGUCCUGCAAGUACAAGGGUUACUUGAAUGUGUCCUCGCAGAUCAAGGGGUCGUUCAGUCACGACGGGAAGUAUAUCAUUGCCGGAUCCGAGAAUCAAUGCAUUUACGUAUGGAAGACCAAUCACGACUACUCCAAGCUGAGCUCGGUUCGUCGCGAUCGCAGCGAUUUCUGGGAGGGCAUUAAAGCACAUAAUGCCACUGUCACCUGUGCCAUAUUCGCGCCACAUCCAGAGGCCAUCAUCAAACCAGAAGCUGAUGAAAUUUCGAAUGAAAAGCUGGCUCACAAUGCACCUGAUCCACUUGUCGAACAGCAUAAAAAGGGAUGCGGCUACGUGCUGGUCAGCGCAGAUUUCAAUGGGGCAAUAAAGGUGUUCAUUAAUAAGACAAAGCCCAAGCACAGCAGUCUGCCCUACACGGCUAUAGCGGAUUAGAUAAUCGCAGGUCUAUUCUAUCGUAGAUGGAAGAAAAAACGGAAACGGAAACGAAAACGAGAAACGCCAUUUCUGCUUAUUUAUAUACAAACAAUACAAUACAUACGUAAUCCUUAUUAAUGCUACACCUAUGUGUCUACCCUCGUAUCGCAGUAUAUGAAAAGUUGUUAACUAAAUGCGGUUCUGCUAGCACGAAAUAUUUGUAAUGUUAUGUAUUUUUAACGCUGAUUGAAUGAAUGAAUGUGUGUGUAGAUAUUUAAUUUGCAAAUGUUUCUUUUAUUGUUUAACAUUAUUUUGAAAGUCAAUUUUACACUAUAAUGCCUCCUCCCUGCACGGAUGGGAAUGACUUUGUACAGAAAAGCGUGAUGAGUACAUUUUCUGACACAUCCCAGGAUCCCAGGCCAGGAAGAUGUCGAAUGUCGAAGAUGCCGGCCGAAUCGCAAAGCAGUUACUUUUAAAACCUACACACAUAAUUAAUUUAUAACUAACUUUAUAAUAUAGUACGAGUAUAUUUUGUGUAAAGUAAAGUUGUGCAACCCUCGGAACGGAACGGGGAAACUAAAAACUAAUGUGCUGUAA